rnacentral:rRNA from 1 species
AUGAAGCACGCGAGGGAGGAGGAGCCGAUUGUUUCGCUGGCGCUGUCCCUCAGCACGGACUCCUCAGCGUCGACCACGACGUCGGACAGCUCGACCGGUGCGCCGGCGGCAAAGAAGAGGGUGCGACGGGGGAGGGUGGUGGUGACGUCGGGGCAAGGGGAGUUCGUGUGCAAGACAUGCGGCCGCGCCUUUGAGACGUUCCAGGCGCUGGGCGGCCACCGGACCAGCCACCUCCGCGGUCGCCACGGGCUGGAGCUCGGCGUCUGCGUCGCCAGGGCCAUCGGGGAGCGGCAAAGGCACGACGACAAGCAGCAACACGACUGCCACAUCUGCACACUGGGCUUCGAGACGGGCCAGGCGCUCGGCGGGCACAUGCGGCGGCACCGCGAGGAGAUGGCGCUCGACCGGUGGGUCGCGCUGUCGGAUCAGGAGGCGGGGCACCAGGCCGCCGCCGCCUACCGGCUGCCUGUCUUGCUCGAGUUGUUCGUUUAG